GAUGAACGCUGGCGGCGUGCCUAAUACAUGCAAGUCGAGCGAACAGACGAGGAGCUUGCUCCUCUGACGUUAGCGGCGGACGGGUGAGUAACACGUGGAUAACCUACCUAUAAGACUGGGAUAACUUCGGGAAUCCGGAGCUAAUACCGGAUAAUAUAUUGAACCGCAUGGUUCAAUAGUGAAAGACGGUUUUGCUGUCACUUAUAGAUGGAUCCGCGCCGCAUUAGCUAGUUGGUAAGGUAACGGCUUACCAAGGCGACGAUGCGUAGCCGACCUGAGAGGGUGAUCGGCCACACUGGAACUGAGACACGGUCCAGACUCCUACGGGAGGCAGCAGUAGGGAAUCUUCCGCAAUGGGCGAAAGCCUGACGGAGCAACGCCGCGUGAGUGAUGAAGGUCUUCGGAUCGUAAAACUCUGUUAUUAGGGAAGAACAAAUGUGUAAGUAACUAUGCACGUCUUGACGGUACCUAAUCAGAAAGCCACGGCUAACUACGUG
rnacentral:rRNA from 1 species